CGGCACGUCUGGUAGCAUCUUUGGCUGCUGUUGAUCUUGUUUUUGGAGUAAAACACGGUGGAAGCUGAAUUAGUGAGGAUGACUCCUGCUCCUGUCAUCUCUAAGCUCCUCACACAUCUUUACCUGCACAUGAGGAAAAUCACUCCUGUAGAAUGCAGUGGUUCAUCAGAACCUCUGGGGAUGUCCUGUGGAUCCUGUGGAUCCUGUGGGUUGCAGGGUGGGUCCUACCUAGACCAGGCUGAUCCUGGACCAUCCCACAGAUGCUCCAUCAGAUCUGGAUGUGGGGAGUGUGGAACCCAGAUGUUCAGAGGGAGAUGAUGCCACAUCUGGUCCAGCUGAUGGAAGGUCUUGAAGUUCUCUGACUGGCCUGGACUGAAGAUGGUCGUCUCACUGGAUUUAAG
ensembl:lncRNA